rnacentral:rRNA from 1 species
AAUCAACGCUGGCGGCGUGCCUCAGACAUGCAAGUCGAACGCGAAAGUUCCCUUCGGGGAGCAAGUAGAGUGGCGCACGGGUGAGUAACACGUAGGUAAUCUACCUUCGGGUGGGGAAUAACAAUCGGAAACGGUUGCUAAUACCGCAUAAUGCAGCGGCACCUAAUGGUGACAGUUGUUAAAGCGGGGGAGUCGCAAGAUCUCGCGCCUGAAGAGGAGCCUGCGGCGGAUUAGCUAGUUGGUAGGGUAAUGGCCUACCAAGGCGACGAUCCGUAGCCGGCCUGAGAGGGCGGUCGGCCACACUGANACUGACAUACGGGUCAGACUCCUACGGGA